GAUGAACGCUAGCUACAGGCUUAACACAUGCAAGUCGAGGGGAAACGACAUCGAAAGCUUGCUUUUGGUGGGCGUCGACCGGCGCACGGGUGAGUAACGCGUAUCCAACCUGCCCACCACUUGGGGAUAACCUUGCGAAAGUAAGACUAAUACCCAAUGAUAUCCCACGAAGGCAUCCGAAUGGGAUUAAAGAUUUAUCGGUGAUGGAUGGGGAUGCGUCUGAUUAGCUUGUUGGCGGGGUAACGGCCCACCAAGGCGACGAUCAGUAGGGGUUCUGAGAGGAAGGUCCCCCACAUUGGAACUGAGACACGGUCCAAACUCCUACGGGAGGCAGCAGUGAGGAAUAUUGGUCAAUGGGCGAGAGCCUGAACCAGCCAAGUAGCGUGCAGGAUGACGGCCCUAUGGGUUGUAAACUGCUUUAUAAGGGAAUAAAGUGAGCCUCGUGAGGCUUUUUGCAUGUACCUUAUGAAUAAGGACCGGCUAAUUCCGUG
rnacentral:rRNA from 1 species